UUUUCAUUCUAACAAAACGUGAACCAAACCCCUCUCUCUGUCUCUCUCUCUUCAACCAAACAAGAACCAAACCAGAAAACCAAACGACCCCCUCCUCUUCAAAUCACCAUCACCGCCGGUUCCACCGAAGGACCGACGAAGACAAGCCGAUUUGGACGUCGCUGACACCACCUCCCAUCAACCUCUGAAAAAGGUUCUUUUCAACAUGGUUGUAACUAGCUAAAUUGUCAUGCUAUAAAUCUUAAAAGUGUUCUUAACUUAAUUUACCUAUAGAAGAAGAUAGCAAAGGACUGGCGUGUUUAGUAAAAUGGGAUCAGAUAAAGAAGCAGUAGGAACCUUGGGAGCAUUUGGAGUUAUGGUAACUCCGGAUUCUGCCAAAUCAGAGAAGAAACCAGUAGCAGCCUCCUUUGCUCGUGUCUGGCGUCCCUCGUUCGUGUCUGUCUUCAAACUUUAUGUCUUUGUGUUAGCAUAUGUAUACAUGUUUAUAUUUUUGACUAACACUUUGUAUGGAUUGUAUUUGUAGUGUAUUUGUUUAUUGCUUGUGAACGAACCUGUGGAAAAAUGGCUGAGCAGAACAACGAAUUUAAUCCUUA